GACGAACGCUGGCGGCGUGCUUAACACAUGCAAGUCGAACGAGUGGCGAACGGGUGAGUAACGCGUAGGUAACUACCUAUUAGAGGGGGAUAACUAUUGGAAACGAUAGCUAAUACCGCAUACUAGUAGAUGGACCUGCGUUGUAUUAGCUAGUAGGUAGGGUAAUGGCCUACCUAGGCAACGAUACAUAGCCGACCUGAGAGGGUGGUCGGCCAAACUUGGACUGAGAACAGGCCCCGACUCCUACGGGAGGGAGCAGUAGGGAAUCUUCGGCAAUGGGGGGAACCCUGAACGAGCAACGCCGCGUGAGUGAAGAAGGUUUUCGGGUCGUAAAGCUCUGUUGUUAAGGAAGCGGUACUUAACCAGAAAGGGAUGGCUAACUACGUGCCAGCAGCCGCGGUAAUUC
rnacentral:rRNA from 1 species